rnacentral:sRNA from 1 species
UAGAUUGAGUGCUGCUCUGGAACGAGGG